CACAUGCAAGUCGAACGAGGUCCAUGCAGUAGCAAUACUGCGGAAGACCUAGUGGCGAACGGGUGAGUAUCACGUGAGAAACCAACCCCGGUCUUUGGGAUAACAGUUGGAAACGACUGCUAAUACCGAAUGCCGUCGUUGCCUCGCAUGGGGCGAUGACGAAAGGGCUACCGGAUCGGGACGGUCUCGCGGCCUAUCAGCUUGUUGGGGAGGUAACGGCUCACCAAGGCCUCGACGGGUAGCUGGUCUGAGAGGAUGAUCAGCCACACUGGGACUGAGACACGGCCCAGACUCCUACGGGAGGCAGCAGUGGGGAAUCUUGCGCAAUGGGCGAAAGCCUGACGCAGCAACGCCGCGUGCGGGAUGAAGGCCUUCGGGUUGUAAACCGCUUUUACCAGGAACGAAAAUGACGGUACCUGGAGAAUAAGGUGCGGCCAACUACGUGCCAGCAGCCGCGGUGACACGUAGGCACCAAGCGUUGUCCGGAUUUAUUGGGCGUAAAGAGCUCGUAGGCGGUUCAGUAAGUCGGGUGUGAAAACUCUGGGCUUAACCCAGAGACGCCACUCGAUACUACUGUGACUAGAGUUCGGUAGGGGAGCAGGGAAUUCCUGGUGUAGCGGUGAAAUGCGCAGAUAUCAGGAGGAACACCGAUGGCGAAGGCACUGCUCUGGGCCGAAACUGACGCUGAGGAGCGAAAGCGUGGGUAGCAAACAGGAUUAGAUACCCUGGUAGUCCACGCCGUAAACGGUGGGCACUAGGUGUGGGUUCCAACCAACGGAAUCCGCGCCGUCGCUAACGCAUUAAGUGCCCCGCCUGGGGAGUACGGCCGCAAGGUUAAAACUCAAAGGAAUUGACGG
rnacentral:rRNA from 1 species